UGCUUAAGGUGGACAGGGUGUAGAGUGUGGGAAACUUCAGGAGGGGGUCACGGAAAUGUGGGGACAGCUGCGCAGCCUGCAGUGUGCUGGAGUCCACCCAGGUGUCUCUCUCUCAGUAGGUGGAAGAAUGCCUCAGAUGAUAUCCGGGAGAAGUGGCAACAGGAAGUAGAGGUGAAGCCAACAGAAACCAGGCAAGAUCCGCAGCACUGCUUUCACAGAGACCCUGUAGUCAUCUCCAGCUAUGAGAAACCCCAUUUCCUUCUCUGGGUGCUUAACUCAAUCCUUCUGGAGACACCUCAGGACCAACAAGCAGACAACAGCCCCAAGCCGUGAACCACUCGAUCCAGGAGACCCUGGCGCCUCUGUGUCCGUUUCUGGAGAGGCACAGGGAGAUGCUGGGGGAGACAAUCUCGGCCAGCUGCAGAGCGCAGCACUGACCCCAGGAACACAGCAGCAGCACCACAAGUGUGGUCGAAUCCACUAGCCUCUUGCUUGUCUCUGGGUCCCAAGAACACUCUCCCCGAUCCCCUGGCAGCAGUAAAACCCUGGGUGUGCUGACUUUCCCUACCAGAAGGGUCAUUUCUUUCUCAGUCUGUCUCUGGGCUCCUGGCUCUCUGUGAAUGCCAGAAGCAUUGAGACAAGGCUUCUGCGUGAAUGGCAGAGGCUGUGGAGAUUCGGAACUGCAGAGAGAAGCUCAGAGAGGAUGGACAAAUGGCUGCUGGGGUAGGGUCAGUUAGGGUCUCCAGACGGUACUGGAAGCCUGAAGAGGAGCCAAAAGAUACUUGUGUGGACUCGCACAACACCAGGACAUUUAAGGGCUCCCUGAGAACCAAGAUAGAAAUCGCUGCUGGCUUCGUUCAUCCUCAGUGGCCUCAAAGUUGUCCCCACUUACUUGCUCGUCCUCUGCCAACCUGAUGACCUGACGUGCUCCCCAGACAGUUUUCAACCGAAGAAAACCCCAUUGCUUAUCUGACGUGAAUGCCAUGAACCAGGAUAACCGAGAGGAAAGGUGUGUGAGGCGACUCAGCAGUAACCAGCUGAGCUGUGGGGAUCUUCCAACGGCAGGCAAGCAGGACGGCACCCUUAGCGCCUAUGUUAAGGACCCUAAAGGUGUGUUCCUUUGACUUCAGCUAAAACAGUUCCGGGACAGAGAUGUUGGGUACCACCAAAAGUAUUCCUGUCCGUCAUCAUCAUUAUUGUUGUUUUGAGACAGGGAUUUCUAUGUAGCCCAGACCAGCCCUUGAAUCCCCAGCCUCCCCAAAGCUGGCGUUGCUGCUGUCCACCAUUUUCACCCUUCAAAUGUCUACCCCAUGAUUGAACUAAACCUAGGAAUGUUUCAACCGUCUUUCCGGAACUGAGCAUGCUCAGUUCCGUAGACCGCCCCCACGGCGCUUUCCAAGGCUGGAGUGACUCCAGAGUACUCCUUACAUGCUUCAGGCAAUACACCUCUCCCCACUCUUCCA